GGGUCUGUAGCUCAGCCUGGCUAGAGCAUCGGUCUUAUACGCCGCAGGUCGGGGGUUCAAAUCCUCCCAGACCCA
rnacentral:tRNA from 1 species